UUUGGGAUUAAUUAGCUAGACCGAAUAUGUAUUGCCUUCAGGUGCACACCAGUUUCAAAGUAAGAUUGACCCCUUUGAUCUUUUUGGUGGAAGAGAGCAAGAAAGUUAAGAGUCACUUGAGUAUGGCAGUUCAUCCACAGCAGACCUAGUUGGAGAAUUAGGUUUAGGUUUCAGACUCAAAUUAGACUUAGAAAAACAGGGUCU
rnacentral:lncRNA from 1 species